AGUGAACGCUGGCGGCGUGCCUAACACAUGCAAGUCGAACGGGCUAGUGCUUCGCACUAGUCUCUUUCUGGGGUUGCUACUCUAAGGCUACCUGCUAAAGUUAUUGCUUUAAAGCAGGGGUUUUAGGGGACCUUCCCCAAAAGGGGCCAGUGCGGAGCACUGGCCAGUGGCGAACGGGUGAGUAACACGUGGGUAAUCUGCCCUCGAGUGGGGAAUAAGCUCCCGAAAGGGGGUCUAAUACCGCAUGACGUUUCAUAACGAUGGUUAUGAAACCAAAGCCCAAAAGGCGCUUGAGGAGGAGCCUGCGUCCUAUCAGCUUGUUGGCAGGGUAAUGGCCUACCAAGGCUAUGACGGGUAGCCGGCCUGAGAGGGUGUCCGGCCACACUGGAACUGAGACACGGUCCAGACUCCUACGGGAGGCAGCAGUGGGGAAUUUUGCGCAAUGGGGAAACCCUGACGCAGCGACGCCGCGUGGAGGAUGACGGCCUCGGUGUAACUCCUGUCAGAGGACGAAUACCGCGAAC
rnacentral:rRNA from 1 species